CGGAUGUGACUUGAAGAAACAAUUCGGCACUGAAGGAAUAACAACUGCAAUAUUGGAGUGUCGAAAUGACAAAAUGAAAACCUGGAAAACGAUGGAGAAGAACUGGUAAAGAAGUCGACUCAAAUAAAUGAUCAAGAAGGACUGUAAAGCUGUCAUCCCGUCCUGCAACCACCUAUGUGAAUGUGGAGACUGAUGAGCAAUGUCUAAG